UAAGCCCUAUGGGAAACUAGCCCAUAUCUUCUGAAUGCAACCCAGACACUUUUAUUAAGCUAAAGCCUUUCU
rnacentral:tRNA from 1 species